AAUCCCUCUGGCAGCCCUGGAUGAGAGGAAUGUUCUUUAAUUAGCACAGAAGAUGAUUGUCUGCUUAAGUGGUGGGCAAUUCUACAUCAUUCAGAUAAGGUUUGAUUCCUCUCCCUGAAGGAUUGUCAGGGAAAGGAAAAGAAGAGUAAAGGGAUCCACCAACAGAUGGAUGCAGAGUAUUGGUCUUAAAGACAGCCUGUUCUGCUGGAAGGAUAUAGUAUGUCCUCAAAGGUGGAUCUCAAUAAGGAUUUAUCAGUGAAUUGUGAGAGAACGUUUAGUUUUAGAAGAGUUAAUUUGAAGGACACUGAAGAAACAAAUUAUCCCCAAAUCAAUGGUAAAGUUAUUAAGCAUGAAGAAAUCCUACGUGAUAUACCCAAAUCCAUCCAGUGAAACAAGGAACACUCCACUUCACCCCAAAGAAAUAAGGCACCUUCCAGAAAAAGAAUUUGUUGUUUUGAUUAUUUAAAAAAGAUGGCAAAACUGAGGCAGAAGGAAGCAG
rnacentral:lncRNA from 1 species